GUCUAAGUGUCACAGUGGGUAGAGCACUAGACUUGGAAUCAGGAAACCUUAUCUUCAUGAGUUCAAAUCUGGUCUCAGACA
rnacentral:tRNA from 1 species